rnacentral:rRNA from 1 species
CGUAGGUGGCAAGCGUUGUCCGGAAUUAUUGGGCGUAAAGCGCGCGCAGGCGGUUCCUUAAGUCUGAUGUGAAAGCCCCCGGCUCAACCGGGGAAGGUCAUUGGAAACUGGGGAACUUGAGUGCAGAAGAGAAGAGCGGAAUUCCACGUGCAGCGGUGAAAUGCGUAGAGAUGUGGAGGAACACCAGUGGCGAAGGCGGCUCUUUGGUCUGUAACUGACGCUGAGGCGCGAAAGCGUGGGGAGCAAACAGGAUUAGAUACCCUGGUAGUCCACGCCGUAAACGAUGAGUGCUAAGUGUUAGAGGGUUUCCGCCCUUUAGUGCUGCAGCUAACGCAUUAAGCACUCCGCCUGGGGAGUACGGCCGCAAGGCUG